AAUCCGCUCUGUUUCGCUCAACUCGCUCUCUCUUACCGCUUUUGACUGUGAAACCAGUCCCAGGUCCCAAUGUCUAGUGCCAUGGAAUGAAGAAUUAGGAGAAGCAGGUAAAGAUUCAAGGACCACGGUCCCUGAAGUGUCGACCUCUGGAGUUUCAAUUGGUGGAACUCACAAUUCUGAAUUCCCCAGUUCCACAACCCCCGAUUCUGGAACCUCAACAUCCGGAGCAACAAGAUCUGGAGCUCUAAGGUCCGAAACAUCAAGAUCAAGAGCUUCAUCAUCCAGAGGGGUGAGAUCUGGCUUACAGACUUGGAGAACAUUGAAGAUGUAGCACUUUCACAACACUGGAGCGAUGACAGCGGCAGCCAGC